CCUGCAACCAGAGGUGAUGCAGGUGUGGCUGCUAUGUCACGUGUGCAUCAGUAGCUUGCAGAGAGGAAAGAGGCUAUGUUCUGACUUGGAACAUCUGAAUGAUUAGCAGCCUAACACU
ensembl:snoRNA LOC120097612 small nucleolar RNA SNORA17